GAAAUAUUAGUCUAAAAAGACAGCUAAUUUCGACUUAGCAGAUUGUGGUUUAACUCCACAAUGUUUC
rnacentral:tRNA from 1 species